AAGGUAGCAUAAUAAUUUGGCUUAUAAUUGAAGUCUGGUAUGAAGGAAUAAAUGGGGAGUAACUAUACUACUUAUAUAAAAUGAAUUUACUUAAUACGUGAAAAGACGUAUUAUAAAUAAUAGACGAGAAGACCCUAGAAAUUUUUUUGCUGGGGCGGCAUAGUAACACAUAAUUUAUAUUUGUAAUUUGUAAGUAGAAUUAAAUUACUCUAGGGAUAACAGCAUAAAGUUUGUGACCUCGAUGUUGGAUUAGGAAAAUAAUGUUUAGAAGACUUAUAUAUAUGCUCUGUUCGAGCAUUGUUUCCU
rnacentral:rRNA from 1 species